rnacentral:rRNA from 1 species
UACGAAGGGGGCGAGCGUUGUUCGGAUUUACUGGGCGUAAAGGGCGCGCAGGCGGCUUUCAAGUCAGGCGUGAAAGCCCCGGGCUUAACCUGGGAACUGCGUCUGGGACUGAAGGGCUAGAGUUCGGGAGAGGAGAGUGGAAUUCCCAAGUGUAGAGGUGAAAUUCGUAGAUACUUGGGAAGAAACACCGGUGGCGAAGGCGGCUCUCUGGACCGAGACUGACGCUGAG